rnacentral:ncRNA from 1 species
UUAGUGUGUUGCUUGAUUCUAUGAAGUCAUUUGGCCUAAAUAUUAAUGAUAUAAGGGGUCAAGGCUAUGAUAAUGGUUCCAAUAUGAAAGGAAAACAUCAAGGGGUACAAAAGUGGUUGCUUGAUAUUAAUAUACUGGGGCUGAGACACGGCCCAGACUCCUACGGGAGGCAGCAGUGGGGAAUUUUCCGCAAUGGGGGAAAGCCUGACGGAGUAAUGCCGCGUGGAGGUGGAAGGCCUACGGGUCGUCAACUUCUUUUCUCGGAGAAGAAACAAUGACGAUAUCUGAGGAAUAAGCAUCGGCUAACUCUGUGCCAGCAGCCGAGGUAAGACAGAGGUAAA